rnacentral:sRNA from 1 species
GCCGGGUGUGGUGGCAGACAUCUGUAAUCCCAGCUGCUUAGGAGGCUGAGGCAGGAGAAUCACUUGAACCUGGGAGGCGGAGGUUGCAAUGAGCUGAGAUUGCACCACUGCACUCCAGCCUUGGCGACGAGCGAAAGUCCAUCUCAAAAAAAAAAGGAGGCCUUGCUUAGCAGGGUGAAUAAAAUUUUUUUUUUUUUUUUUUUGAGACGGAGUUUCGCUCUUGUUGCCCAGGCUGGCAUGCAGUGGCACCAUCUCGGCUCACUGCAACCUCCGCCUCCCAGGUUCAAGCGAUUCUCCUGCCUCAG